UACGUAGGGAGCAAGCGUUGUCCGGAAUCAUUGGGCGUAAAGCGCGCGUAGGUGGCCUCAUAAGUCCGCUGUGAAAGUCAAAGGCUCAACCUUUGAAAGCCGGUGGAUGCUGUGAGGCUAGAGUACGGAAGAGGCGAGUGGAAUUCCUGGUGUAGCGGUGGAAUGCGCAGAUAUCAGGAGGAACACCAAUAGCGAAGGCAGCUCGCUGGGACGUUACUGACACUGAGGCGCGAAAGCGUGGGGAGCGAACAGG
rnacentral:rRNA from 1 species